rnacentral:rRNA from 1 species
CGUCCGUCGUGGAGAGGGAAACAACCCAGACCGCCAGCUAAGGUCCCCAAGUCUAUAUUAAGUGGGAAACGAAGUGGGAAGGCUUAGACAGCUAGGAUGUUGGCUUAGAAGCAGCCAUCAUUUAAAGAAAGCGUAAUAGCUCACUAGUCGAGUCGGCCUGCGCGGAAGAUGUAACGGGGCUGAAAUAUAGCACCGAAGCUGCGGCAUCAGGCGUAUCACUAAUACGCCUUACGAUUAACAAGCUAGAAUGGUGCGAAGCGACAUGAAAGGUUGUUCAAGCAACCCGAACGUUGAGUCGGGCAUCUUAGAGUGAGGAUUAUUAGUGAUACGCCUGUUGGGUAGGGGAGCGUUGUGUAAGCGGAAGAAGGUUCAUUGAGAGGUGGGCUGGACGUAUCACAAGUGCGAAUGCUGACAUAAGUAACGAUAAAACGGGUGAAAAACCCGUUCGCCGGAAGACCAAGGGUUCCUGUCCAACGUUAAUCGGGGCAGGGUGAGUCGGCUCCUAAGGCGAGGCUGAAAAGCGUAGUCGAUGGGAAACAGGUUAAUAUUCCUGUACUUGGUAAAGCUGCGAUGUGGGGACGGAGUAGGUUAGGUUAUCGCACUGUUGGAUAUGUGCGUUUAAGUUGGUAGGUGGGAAGUUUAGGCAAAUCCGGACUUCCUUAACACAGAGAGAUGAUGACGAGGCUCUACGGAGCUGAAGUAACUGAUACCACACUUCCAGGAAAAGCCACUAAGCGAAAGGCUUUACUAAACCGUACUGAAAACCGACACAGGUGGUCAGGUAGAGAAUACUCAGGCGCUUGAGAGAACUCGGGUGAAGGAACUAGGCAAAAUAGCACCGUAACUUCGGGAGAAGGUGCGCCGGCGUAGAUUGUAAGGGCUAGCCCCUGAAGGUUGAACCGGUCGAAGAUACCAGCUGGCUGCAACUGUUUAUUAAAAACACAGCACUCUGCAAACACGAAAGUGGACGUAUAGGGUGUGAUGCCUGCCCGGUGCUGGAAGGUUAAUUGAUGGUGUAAUCGCAAGAGAAGCACCUGAUCGAAGCCCCAGUAAACGGCGGCCGUAACUAUAACGGUCCUAAGGUAGCGAAAUUCCUUGUCGGGUAAGUUCCGACCUGCACGAAUGGCAUAAUGAUGGCCAGGCUGUCUCCACCCGAGACUCAGUGAAAUUGAAAUCGCCGUGAAGAUGCGGUGUACCCGCGGCUAGACGGAAAGACCCCGUGAACCUUUACUAUAGCUUGACACUGAACAUUGAAUUUUGAUGUGUAGGAUAGGUGGGAGCCUUUGAAGCAGUGACGCCAGUCAUUGUGGAGGCGACCUUGAAAUACCACCCUUUAACGUUUGAUGUUCUAACGAAGAUGACGAAACGUGGUCUCGGACAGUGUCUGGUGGGUAGUUUGACUGGGGCGGUCUCCUCCCAAAGCGUAACGGAGGAGCACGAAGGUUUGCUAAUCACGGUCGGACAUCGUGAGGUUAGUGCAAUGGUAUAAGCAAGCUUAACUGCGAGACAGACAAGUCGAGCAGGUACGAAAGUAGGUCAUAGUGAUCCGGUGGUUCUGAAUGGAAGGGCCAUCGCUCAACGGAUAAAAGGUACUCCGGGGAUAACAGGCUGAUACCGCCCAAGAGUUCAUAUCGACGGCGGUGUUUGGCACCUCGAUGUCGGCUCAUCACAUCCUGGGGCUGAAGUAGGUCCCAAGGGUAUGGCUGUUCGCCAUUUAAAGUGGUACGCGAGCUGGGUUUAGAACGUCGUGAGACAGUUCGGUCCCUAUCUGCCGUGGGCGUAGGAGAAUUGGUUGGGGCUGCUCCUAGUACGAGAGGACCGGAGUGGACGCACCACUGGUGUUCCGGUUGUGUCGCCAGACGCAUUGCCGGGUAGCUAAGUGCGGAAGAGAUAAGUGCUGAAAGCAUCUAAGCACGAAACUUGCCAAGAGAUGAGUUCUCCCAAUCUAAGAGAUAGUAAGGGUUGUUGUAGACUACGACGUAGAUAGGUCUGGUGUGUAAGUGUAGUGAUACAUUGAGCUAACAGAUACUAAUUGCCCGAGAGGCUUAACUAU